AUCUAGAGAUGAACUUAAAAGCAGAAAACCCCUCAAAAUUCUGGAUUAUUUUCAGACAAGUUCCUUUCUAAUAGCAGGAGAUACUUUGUUUUAUCUGCUACGCGGCAGCUCAACCUCUUAAGCUAACAUCACCAUGUAAAACCAAGUCACACCUCCUUAUCUCUUUUUAGGAAAAAGCCCUCUGCCACGUCCCCUGCAGGGAGUUUUUAAGGUGUAGUACGAAGCAUUUGUGAUGCAAAGUGGUUGACUGCAAAAGUAUCUCCAUAUUUAUUAGGUUACUUUAACAAAAGACAACCAUGGAUACAUUUAAGGAACACUAUAUACACAAUAUAAUUAGUUUUAAAUAGAGAGAUAAAAAAGAGAAAAGUCAGAAAUGUUGGAUGGCGUUUAUUGUUUGCUGUGACAUCCCCUGCUUUGCCCCAGUCUUAGUCCUGCCACACACAGGGUUGUACCUCCUCCCUCCCUCAGACGGUCAUUGCCUCCAUCUCCGUAACCAAUCUGUAAGCACUCGACUGCAGCCGGUGUAGAAGCACACCUCCACAAAGUCCAGCUCUCCUCUGUCAAAAUGCCAGACUCUAACGAAGCCAUAGCCGCGCCGUGCCACGUUAUCAGAGAGUACGUGGACAAGUGUGUCAGAGAGAAGGGAGUAGAAGACUGCAAGGAUCUAAUGGAUGCCUUCCAGGCCUGUAUAAAGACCCUGUCUGAGGGAUCUUAGCAAGAAAUACGCCUCAAUAAAAUCAUCUUUGUUCUUGCACUGGACCGAACCAUCUGAAAAACAAAAGAGGGAGGUGAUGACUGGUAGAUACACAUCCACAAAAAAAAAAAAAAAUCUUUAUAAAUGUCAGAAUUUCACAAUGGAAUAAAUCAUAACACUCUUUUAUGCACUGUACAUUUAUAGGCAAAUAAACAGAGUGUGUAUAUUUUCCACAUGA